rnacentral:rRNA from 2 species
CCUAUACAUGCAGUCGAGCGGACAGAAGGGAGCUUGCUCCCGGAUGUUAGCGGCGGACGGGUGAGUAACACGUGGGUAACCUGCCUGUAAGACUGGGAUAACUCCGGGAAACCGGAGCUAAUACCGGAUAGUUCCUUGAACCGCAUGGUUCAAGGAUGAAAGACGGUUUCGGCUGUCACUUACAGAUGGACCCGCGGCGCAUUAGCUAGUUGGUGAGGUAACGGCUCACCAAGGCGACGAUGCGUAGCCGACCUGAGAGGGUGAUCGGCCACACUGGGACUGAGACACGGCCCAGACUCCUACGGGAGGCAGCAGUAGGGAAUCUUCCGCAAUGGACGAAAGUCUGACGGAGCAACGCCGCGUGAGUGAUGAAGGUUUUCGGAUCGUAAAGCUCUGUUGUUAGGGAAGAACAAGUGCAAGAGUAACUGCUUGCACCUUGACGGUACCUAACCAGAAAGCCACGGCUAACUACGUGCCAGCAGCCGCGGUAAUACGUAGGUGGCAAGCGUUGUCCGGAAUUAUUGGGCGUAAAGGGCUCGCAGGCGGUUUCUUAAGUCUGAUGUGAAAGCCCCCGGCUCAACCGGGGAGGGUCAUUGGAAACUGGGAAACUUGAGUGCAGAAGAGGAGAGUGGAAUUCCACGUGUAGCGGUGAAAUGCGUAGAGAUGUGGAGGAACACCAGNNGCCAAGGCGANNCUCUGGUCUGUNNCUGACGCUCAGGAGCGUAAGCGCGGGGAGGCGAACAGGGGUUAGAUACCCCUGGGUAGGCCCUCGCUCGUAUACGCAUGAGUNNCUACCUUUCGAUGGGGCGUUCCCCCCCNUAAAGGCCGCUAACCAC